rnacentral:rRNA from 1 species
AAUCAACGCUGGCGGCGUGCCUCAGACAUGCAAGUCGAACGCGAAAGUCCCCUUCGGGGGACAAGUAGAGUGGCGCACGGGUGAGUAACACGUGGGUGACCUGCCCUCAGCUCUGGGAUAAGCCUGGGAAACUGGGUCUAAUACUGGAUAUGACUCCACGGUGCAUGUCGUGGGGUGGAAAGCCUUGUGCGGCUGAGGAUGGGCCCGCGGCCUAUCAGCUUGNGGUGGGGUGAUGGCCUACCAAGGCGACGACGGGUAGCCGGCCUGAGAGGGCGACCGGCCACACUGGGACUGAGACACGGCCCAGACUCCUACGGGAGGCAGCAGUGGGGAAUCUUGCGCAAUGGGCGAAAGCCUGACGCAGCGACGCCGCGUGAGGGAUGACGG